CGUAGGGUACGAGCGUUGUCCGGAAUUAUUGGGCGUAAAGAGCUCGUAGGUGGUUGGUCACGUCUGCUGUGGAACGCAACGCUUAAACGUUGCGCGUGCAGUGGGUACGGGCUGACUAGAGUGCAGUAGGGGAGUCUGGAAUUCCUGGUGUAGCGGUGAAAUGCGCAGAUAUCAGGAGGAACACCGGUGGCGAAGGCGGGACUCUGGGCUGUAACUGACACUGAGGAGCGAAAGCAUGGGGAGCGAACAGGA
rnacentral:rRNA from 1 species